ACGGGUUUAAGUUUAUACAUAUCCAAUUUGUGUUGCCUAUAAAAAGGUUUGUAAUAAAUUAAAUUAUAUUACUUUAAAUUUUUAUUCAGAAAACCAUCCAAAAAUCUAUAUAUAAAAAAAAAAACACCCAAAUUUUAGUUUACGAUUUUUAUUAUAUUACUUUAAAUUUUUAUAGUUUACGAUUUUUUUUUUCAAAUAUCGUUAUUGUUAUUAUUAUUAUUAUUUUUGGGUAUAAGUAUAGAAAGCUUUUAACAAAAACCGAGUCUAAAUCAAUUGUGGUCUGCUGUGGAAGAAAGAAGUCGAAGAGAUAGAGGAGGGUGGGAAUGUCGUUGAUGAGAGGAGAGCCGUUGGUGUCGAAGCUGGCAACGUUGGCCAAGUUCGUGGUUCUACCAGGAGCCAUGGUCGCUGCUAUGAUCUACUCUCCACAGCAAGACCCUAACAAGAAAUCCGAUUCCAAGUAGACCUAAUUCAAGGGGCUUCUAGACAUUUUAGAUUUGCAUCAUUUCCUUGUAGAGCUCUGCUGGAUGGGUAUUAGAAUGUAAUAAUUCUCACAUGUCAGGAUCCCAUUGGUUCAUGUAUUACAUAUACAGGAACAUGGAGAUUGAGUAUUGUUCUUUCCCUUUGAAGGACUUUGGACUGUAUAAAACUUAAAUAACUUGCGAAUGCCUUGAAUCACUCAUUUUGUUUUGUUGAUCGCUA